rnacentral:lncRNA from 1 species
CCCAUUGCGUAACCCUGAAAUUUGGGUAUUUUGACCACCGACUAGGUUAGGUAAAUAAUGUAAAGAGCAUUUAAAUCUGAAAUAAAUGAAGAAUGAAAGUGGUUCAACAGGCAACUCUGAAAAUGCAAUGGUCCUAGAGCAUUUGCUUUUCCUUAUUUUUGGGCAAUGACCAUCAUCCUUGAUUUCCCUCUCCAUAGACGGUACCAACUUAUUUUGACCUUUUUUAUGUGGGGCGACUGCUUUUUCGAACUGGAUGGAGUUUGGUGGCUCGCUUUCAGCCAUCUUUCUAUAAAUAUUUAUAUCUACAGUUUAUUCUGGGACCGCUCCCGCGACAUUUAAGAGUUUACGCUCCUGUUAAGUUCUACAGCGUUUUCUUCUUGC